UACAGAGGUCUCAAGCGUUGUUCGGAUUCAUUGGGCGUAAAGGGCGCGUAGGCGGCGCGGUAAGUCACUUGUGAAAUCUCUGAGCUUAACUCAGAACGGCCAAGUGAUACUGCAGUGCUAGAGUGCAGAAAGGGCAAUCGGAAUUCUUGGUGUAGCGGUGGAAUGCGCAGAUAUCAGGAGGAACACCGAUGGCGAAGGCAGGUCUCUGGGCCACUACUGACGCUGAGGCGCGAAAGCUAGGGGAGCGAACAGG
rnacentral:rRNA from 1 species